UGGUCAUCACUCUGCUACCUGGACAAUGGAAGUGAAGAUCUUCUGGAGUUUUAUUUUACUGUCUCUCUCUACAAAGUGUUGGAGUCAAAAGUUGACCCAGUCUGAAGCAGUGGUCAUUACACCUGGAGGAUCUCAUAAACUGACCUGUACGGCAUCAGGUCUAGACUUUGAUGGCAACUGGAUGGGCUGGAUCAGACAGGCUGCUGGAAAAGGCUUAGAAUGGGUGGCAAUCAUCAAAGGUGAUAGUCAAGAAAAGUACUACUCUCAGUCUGUCCAAGGAAGGUUCACCAUCUCCAGAGACAACAGCAAAGACCAGCUGUAUCUGCAGAUGAGCAGCGUGAAGAAUGAAGACACUGCUGUGUAUUACUGUGCUCGAGAUCCACACUGA